CGACCAUGGUUUCCCCACCUUCUCCUCCUCCCUCCCCUCCCUUCCCCUCUCCUCAUGACAGAAGAGAAGUAAGACGGACACGAGGGAGGGAUCCCGUCCGGCGACGACCCUCCUCGCUGGAUCCAGUGUCGCCACGCCAUGCCAAUUAAUGACGAGAGUGAGAUAGGCAGCACGAGACAACGCUGACACCGGCCGCGAUGAGGAGGCACAUGCUCUAGCUCAUCGCUUGUGCGGUGCGCACCUCCGCUUCUCAUCCUCAUCCUCAGCACCAUCUACAUCGGGUCAGCACGAACCCCCGACCAUCCCAAAUUUGUCGUUGCUCCGUUGUUCCCCUUCUGUCUCUAUAGCAGUCGAUGGAUGUGUUUUUGUGCGUGGCUUCUUCACGUGAUAGGUCGCCGCGCUGAGAGCGUUGACAGGUUUCUUCUGGCUCGAAACUGCCACAGGCGCGUGUGCGGCUGCCUGUGCGGUGCAGGGCGGUUUGAAGUCUACGACGGCCCUGGGUGCAGGUGUCUCUACUUCUUCUGGUGCGGCGGGGGGCGGCUCGAAGCCUGCAGCGGUGGCAUCGGGUUCUGAUGGCAGUGGCCAUCGCGGCGGGCGGGAUGGGAAGUCGCAGCAAGGGGACUCCGGAAGUCUGUCCGAGGAGGGGUAGGUCGUUUCAGGCCCCUCCAUUUUUUUACUUGUACUCUUUGUUGUGUGAUGCAGAUUCUGAAUUUUACCUAGAAAUGCAUGUGUCAUUGUCCAAUUGACUUAUUAGUUUAUUACUGUUGCAUGAGGUGUUUCUAUUUGUAAUUAAUUGGCAUCUAUUUCAUCUAGAUGAGUGACUGGAUUUUAGACUUCAGUACUACUGAGUGCCGACGAAGCAGAACUUUGUUUUUAUGUGUCGUCCGUGGAUUCUACCCACUGCUUGUGUGUAUUACUAUUCUCCUAGUAGUAUUACAUACAACUCUGUCCCCGUAGAUGAACUUAUUACUGAUUUGCAUAACAAUUAGGAUUCCCCGCUCAAUCAAGGAGCUAGGUGUAACUAAAAAUUUCAUGCCAAUUGUCUCACAUAACCUAUACGCAAUCGGUCGGCUUAGGGAAUUUUACCAUGAUUUAACACAUGCGAAACCUGAAUAUCUCUAUGAAAUGAAGCAUCUUCCACAUCUGCUUGGAAAAAGGUCUGGCUAGCUUUGAUUGGACACCAAUCGAAUUGUAUUUUUUAGUAAACAAAGAUUGUCAAAGUUCAGAGACUUGCAAAUGACAGUAAGAUGGGUGAUUUCUUCGUAAUAUUUUGUAUGGUCAUCUUAUACAUACAGAGAUUUUAUAUGCACUGCUACCUGAUGAUCUAUACGUUUCACAUAUUUGUUCUAUCUUUGAAGCUCUACAAUAUUUUAUAGAUAUCAACAGGACCUCCUGGUGGUUACCUGCACGCGACAACAACCACGACCAAGAUACGAAAACAUGAACAUCUCCCCGACUUGCUGAAGCUCGACAGGGGCCUUCCCGGAUCGAGGCUAGAUCAGGUCACCGCUACCCCUUAUUCUUUGUUCCAGCACUGUCUUCUUUGUUCCUCACUAUAAAAAUUGAUGCAUGUGCCCUAUUCUAAAGUGUAAAAUCAUCGAUAGCUUGUACUAUCCACCUGUUGUGUUAACUUGCAGUGUGCUGGUACUAAUCAUUUGCAAAAAAUAUCUCAGUUUCCGCUGUUAUGAGAAUGUUAUAUGCAUGGUUUCCGGUUAAAUCUAAAGUUCUGCAACAAAUUUUAAUCGUUAUGAGAAUUUUAUAUUCACAGAUUCACUUGAUUAUGUUACUAACUUCUCAUAAUUUAUUAUUUGCAGAUGUUGGCCUUCAUUCUUUAAAAGUUGGGUGUACAAGAGCUUUAGGAAGAAAAAUCCCGAAGAAAACCCACUCCCACCAAUGCGUUUUAGCUCACUAUAGCUAGUUAUGUGUAUAUUUAGUUGUAUUUUAUAGAUGAAUACCAGAUUUGUAUGAUGUAUGAUUGUAAUGUACUUUGCUUGGUUGUUGUAUGAAAUAUUAUGCCUGAUUGGAUCUUUUUGAAUCAUAUUAUCUAAUUGCAUAAAUAUAGAACCAACGUGUGGUACCCAAACAUCAAUCCUGGUAAUUGAUUCCCAUUUUACUAGUGGGUCCUACUUUAAAAUGGAAAAAAACAAAAGAAAACUAACAAGUGGGCUGGAAAAUCGCUAAGGCCCAAAAAAAUAUGGAUUGUAAAGGAUCGUAGCCCUAAAAAAGGUUGUUGGGCUUCGCCCAU
rnacentral:lncRNA from 1 species